ACCGAACCGAACGCCGCCAUGGGGUGGUCUGCAACUCCCCGCUUUUUGGUAGUGGACCUUCAACAAAGACGGAGGUUGGGGUAGAAAAUAUGAUCUAAGGGAACAGAGGAGGGAGACAUGGUGUACUCAUGAUGUGAUGUACUCAACAGCAUGCCAGAGCCCUUUUAAAAGGCGGGCUCCGAAGAGAUGGUCGAGCCUCGGAACUCUACCUCACACCAGUACUUCCCUGUAUCCUGCUGCUGGACAGACUUCACACUGAAACCACCCGGACAGAAGGACACACUCAGUGAUUCCCCUAGUACUUAACAUGAUAAUGAAAUAAAUAA